GACCUCCCAAUUAUUACCACAAACUCUGUUCUUUACACUGACUGUGUAGAAAGAGGAGGUACAGUAAAUAAACCUCAUAUACACCUCAACACAGGCCCUUUGCCUGGUCUGUAUUGUGAAUUGGGGACAAAAAA